AACGCUGGCGGCGUGCCUAACACAUGCAAGUCGAGCGAUUCUCUUCGGAGAAGAGCGGCGGACGGGUGAGUAACGCGUGGGUAACCUGCCCUGUACACACGGAUAACAUACCGAAAGGUAUGCUAAUACGAGAUAAUAUGCUUUUGUCGCAUGGUAGAAGUAUCAAAGCUCCGGCGGUACAGGAUGGACCCGCGUCUGAUUAGCUAGUUGGUAAGGUAACGGCUUACCAAGGCGACGAUCAGUAGCCGACCUGAGAGGGUGAUCGGCCACAUUGGAACUGAGACACGGUCCAAACUCCUACGGGAGGCAGCAGUGGGGAAUAUUGCACAAUGGGCGAAAGCCUGAUGCAGCAACGCCGCGUGAGCGAUGAAGGCCUUCGGGUCGUAAAGCUCUGUCCUCAAGGAAGAUAAUGACGGUACUUGAGGAGGAAGCCCCGGCUAACUACGUGCCAGCAGCCGCGGUAAUACGUAGGGGGCUAGCGUUAUCCGGAAUUACUGGGCGUAAAGGGUGCGUAGGUGGUUUCUUAAGUCAGAGGUGAAAGGCUACGGCUCAACCGUAGUAAGCCUUUGAAACUGGGAAACUUGAGUGCAGGAGAGGAGAGUGGAAUUCCUAGUGUAGCGGUGAAAUGCGUAGAUAUUAGGAGGAACACCAGUUGCGAAGGCGGCUCUCUGGACUGUAACUGACACUGAGGCACGAAAG
rnacentral:rRNA from 1 species